CACUGCUACUCAACAUGUAGUGGCCAUGAGAAUUGUUUUUACCCAGACUGCCCAAGUUCAGAGAGUUUCCGAAGAGGAUUUAGGCUCAGAACUGAUUUUGUCAAUUAUUCACAGGGUAGAUCAUGGCUAGGACAAGGUCUCUAUCAACCAUGCUAAAGGAUGUCAGCAGCUCAGAGCACAAUUUUCCAUCAACGUUCUUCACUCCGAUGUCUGAAAUCUCUGGUUCUGUCUGUGCCACACAUUUGCUGCUCCGUGGGGUGAGGUGUCCCUGCCCACCAGCUGAACACCUGAAGUACAACUUAUUGAAAGAAUGAAGAAUGAAGAAGAAUGAAGAUUCUGGGUGGUUCUGACACCUGCUGUCUCACACAAACCCUGAGACCACGGAAAUAAGAUCAUGUUACAGAAGAGGUGAGAAGGAAGGAAUGGCUCUAAAGGCAUCCAGCUGAAAGGCAAUAGGAUGAAUAGAGCUGGCUGCAGUUCUACACAGAAUAAACUGCAUGAAUGAAGAGGAUGUGGUUCCCCCUCUGUUCCAGCUGACACCGAGGAAGAGAAUGCAACAAUUUGCAUGGAAUAGCUUUGGACUGAUCUGCAAAGGACAAUAUUAUAUUUCAUAAUAAUGUUCCAAAUGUUAAAGGAUUUUUCCUGCCAAAACCUCUCUUUGUCAUCAUCAACUGAUGGCACACAGCUCUGGGAAUAAACACUUUCAGCUAAUGGCAGGAAUUGUCAGGGGAAACACAAAACAGGUAUUUCUCCCUGACACAGAACGAAACAUAAGAUUAAAGUUAAAUGCCAAAUCCUACCAGC